rnacentral:rRNA from 11 species
UUUGGGGACCAAAAUACCUUACAAGCACUAGAUCCCUUCUGAUUUUGGAAGCUAAGAAGAAUCAGCCCUGGAAAUACUUUGGGAGGGAAAUAGCCAAAGAACACCAGGUGCUGUAAAC